GCAAAGGCUCUUUUGAGAGCUACCAGAUUUAUAUUAAAAAGCUCAUU
rfam:Salmo salar isolate Sally breed double haploid chromosome ssa10, whole genome shotgun sequence.